GACGGACAGGGCGUAGCCACGGCAACCAGAGUCCCUCCAAUUCUAUUGCUACCUGUCCUGUAAAAUGCUGGAACUUCGAAAGGGUCCCUCCUCCAGUCUGUGCGCCACAAAACGCCAGCUUCUCUUGUCGUCGUUAGCUGAGCGGGGUUUCAAGUUUUCCAAGGAAGGAAGGGCGGUGUGUGCAGCCUGUUCUCAACUUCGGGCAGAAAGGGAGCAUCUUUCAGGAGAAACUCUUUCUUCAUGUUCUGCACCUCAGCUGCUCCCGAUGCAUGUUCCUUUUCGUCUCUCUAAGGACUUUGCGAACCACGUUUUUCAAGUGACUGCAUGGGGCCGUCCUGUUUCAGAGACACGGUAAUAAGGGUUCCAGAGGGGAGCAGACUUUCUGGGGUGUAUCUUUCAGGACGAGCAAGGUUGUGCUGAAAUAGCAGGUCAGUUCUGAACCCCAGCAGCCGUCCACAGCUGACACUGGCUUCUUCCUCAGAGGGCACCCACUCCAGGUACAGGUGGCGGUCCAGGCUGUGGGUCUCUGCCACGUGAGUCGCCACUCCGGCCUCUUCUCGUGGCCUGUGUCUCAAGGCCAGCCUCCCCAGGUAGCACCGGGUAAGGAGGAGAUAGGCCUGUGGCCUUGGGCCUCUUUAUUCCCCAGCAGGGAUGGCCCUGCACAUCUGCCCACACUUCCCGGGCCAGACCUGGUUACAGAGCCCCUUACUGCACGGGGCCUAAGAAGUCUGUGUUGUGUGCACCUAAGAAGGAAAACAUGAACUAUUGGUGAGCUCACAGGACUGUCUGGCAUCAGUGAGUUACAGGUGAGGUGGUAGCCGUGCUGGGCUGGAUGUCAGGCUCCAGCCCCGAGCUCGGUCUACAGCAAUGUGCGUAUCCAGGUAUUCGCGCAUCCAGGUAUUCGCGUGGGAACGUGUUCCCUGGGUGACUGGCAGCCUUAUGUUGGAUGCUCUGGCAUGAUGGAUUUAUGCACAUUCACCUGUCACCCAUCGGUGUUGUGCAGAGUGACUACUUGUUUUAGAUGCAACAGGACAAGCCUGGCAAACAAUUAAUGCUUUUAGUUUGCCAGCAUUAACGUGAACUAAGGAAUACAACCGCUAAUAAGAACUGUGGCUUUAAACGCUGUUUUUAAGAACCGACUUGGUUAUCAGUUAAGUAAUAUGUAAGCUCGGACAUACUUUAUUUGAUGGUUAGAGUUGAAACUGAGGGCAGAGAAGCAUCAUCUAUUCUCAGUGAGGUCACUCGCAACCCCCACGUUGGGUAGGGUAUGGGUUUGUCUACACCAACGACUCCCCACGCCACAUCACGUCACCUUCCUUCUCUCUUUCUCCUGAUUUGUUUUCUGACCAUAAAAAUGAACACAUAUUUAUUGUGAUAAAUUUGAAAUUAUUGACAACUAUAAGGAAAAUAAACCAG
rnacentral:lncRNA from 1 species